UACAGAGGUCUCAAGCGUUGUUCGGAUUCAUUGGGCGUAAAGGGUGCGUAGGCGGUCGGGUAAGUCUGACGUGAAAUCUUCAAGCUCAACUUGGAGACUGCGUCCGAUACUAUUCGGCUAGAGGAAUGGAGGGGAGACUGGAAUACUUGGUGUAGCAGUGAAAUGCGUAGAUAUCAGGAGGAACACCGGUGGCGAAGGCGGGUCUCUGGGCCGAUACUGACGCUGAGGAGCGAAAGCGUGGGGAGCGAACAGG
rnacentral:rRNA from 1 species